rnacentral:lncRNA from 1 species
ACGUGCUAAAAUAAAAGGGAUUUUUAUUCUCUUUUGUGCAUAUAAGAAAGAAGAAAAAGGGGUCUUCACGUGAAAGGAGUUUGGGCAUGGGUUCAUGGUGUGAAAGAGAGAGGAGAGUCCUCUCCUCUUUGGGUGAGAGAAAAACCUAGAUUUCUGAGGUUUUAUUCCUAAAGGUUUGGAAAGAGAGAAAAAGAAGAGA